rnacentral:RNase_P_RNA from 1 species
AGAGCAGGCCAAACGAUCGCGCGUAUCUUCGAUAUUCUUCGCAGAUACGGGAGGAAAGUCCGAGCUCCACAGGGCAGGGUGCUCCGUAACGCGGAGUCGCGGUGACGCGAAGGAAAGUGCCACAGAAAAGAUACCGCCCUGUGAGAUAGGUGUUGCCACCAUCUCACAGGGUAAGGGUGAAAAGGUGCGGUAAGAGCGCACCAGUUCCCCGGGUGACUGGGGAAGCUAGGUAAACCCCACCCGGAGCAAGACCAAAUAGGGAAGCAUUUGAGGGCGGCCCGUCCGAGCUUCCGGGUUGGUCGCAAGAGGUCUUGGGCAACCAAUACCCUUAGAUGAAUGAUCGUUGUUCCGUAGAGGGUGACCGAUACGGAAAACAGAACUCGGCUUAUGGCCUGCUCUGGCA